AAAAUGGUAGGGUGAAAAUAUAUGUGAAUACAAUUCUAUUAAUUUUUAAAUUAUUAUAAAGAGAAAUAAUAAAUUUGAAAAUUUAUUUAUGACCCUAUGCAUUAUUUUGGAGUUCUUCUAUUUUGAAAAUUUUUAGUAUUUUUUUUUUAGUUCUUUUAUCCUCAAAGUUUCCUGCUUUAUUUUCUUAUAUAGUUUUAAACAAAGCAUAAUACUCAUCAGUUCUUUUAGUUCUUCCAUUCGAUUUAGAUAUGAUGAUUUAAAUUUAAUCUCAUUAUUUU
rnacentral:lncRNA from 1 species